GUGACAGUGGUUGAUCCUAGCCUCCAGGUGGUCUAUGAUACAUUUGUGAAACCAGAUGAAGAAGUCAUUGACUAUAACACCAGGUUUUCUGGUGUCGAAGAUGACCUGAGGAACACUAGAAUAUUGAUCCGGAUGUCCAAGCCACCUUGUUGAACCUGUUCAGUGCUGACACUGUACUAAUUGGACAUAGCUUUGAAUGGAGUCUGUAUGCUCUUAAGCUAAUUCCUAUUUCAGUUGUGGACGAGACGGUUCU